rnacentral:rRNA from 1 species
GACGAACGCUGGCGGCGUGCCUAAUACAUGCAAGUAGAACGCUGAAGGAGGAGCUUGCUUCUCCGGAUGAGUUGCGAACGGGUGAGUAACGCGUAGGUAACCUGCCUGGUAGCGGGGGAUAACUAUUGGAAACGAUAGCUAAUACCGCAUAAGAGUAGAUGUCGCAUGACAUUUGCUUAAAAGGUGCAACUGCACCACUACCAGAUGGACCUGCGUUGUAUUAGCUAGUUGGUGAGGUAACGGCUCACCAAGGCAACGAUACAUAGCCGACCUGAGAGGGUGAUCGGCCAGACUGGGACUGAGACACGGCCCAGACUCCUACGGGAGGCAGCAGUAGGGAAUCUUCGGCAAUGGACGGAAGUCUGACCGAGCAACGCCGCGUGAGUGAAGAAGGUUGUCGGAUCGUAAAGCUCUGUUGUAAGAGAAGAACGAGUGUGAGAGUGGAAAGUUCACACUGUGACGGUAUCUUACCAGAAAGGGACGGCUAACUACGUG